AAUGCGGCUCUCUGGACUGGAAAAGCGACAUAAUUUACAGCGACAUGACUCCCAAUAAAUGUCAGGAGCUGUCACCCAAUUGGAUGCCUCUAAUUUCCUCUUGCUUGGCAUGAAUCCCACAUUCCCCAGAAUGCCUCCGGAUCUGGACUAACAAUAACAAAAAAUGGUCUUGGAUUUCUAGAUUAGCUGUGUGCCAAUCGACCAAGCCUGCUCGCAAAGGACUUCACUAGAAGAAGGCCCUUUACACACGCACAACAACAACAACAACAACAACUCUCAUACCUUUUGGAUCCACAUGCAUCCAUGUACAUGCCCGAGAACAACUCUGGAUUCCAUUAUUUUUAUUGUUUUUGUGAUCGAAUUAGUAGUUCAGUGAUGUGCCCUUUGUGCUUUUCGGUGCUCUGCCGUGCGAGUGCGCUUGGAUGGAUAGAACCAUAACACCUCUGUAUUGGGGAAGAAUGGAUCCACGUUCAUGAGCAUUUACUAGCAUUUAUGGGUGCAGGUGUAUACGGGCAUGCAUGCUUAGAUACAUCGACAGAUAGGCAUAGACAACUGCGACCCCUC
rnacentral:lncRNA from 1 species